GUGUUCACUUUGGAGCACGUCUACUGAAAUUGGAAUGAUACAGGGACUAGCAUGGCCCUGAGCGAGGAUGACACACAGAUCCCUGGAGGGCCCCAUAUUUCU